GGGGGGGGGGGGGGGGGGGGGGGGGGGGGGGGGGGCGGGGGGCGGGGGGGGGGGAGCGGUGGCGGCGGGCGGCGGGGGGGGGCGGGAUUCGUGGGGAUCUGCCUUUUUGUGGGGGAUCACGUAGGGAAACUUACGCUAAGCCCUCAUCGGUCCUACGGUGGAGAGUGGGGUACCGACCUGCCUCACGCAGACCGAUGAACCGACUACCGAUUAGCUAGUUGGUGGUGUAAAGGCCCACCAAGGCGACGAUCGGUCGCUGGUCUGAGAGGAUGAUCAGCCACACUGGGACUGAGACACGGCCCAGACUCCUAAGGGAGGCAGCAGUGGGGAAUAUUGGACAAUGGGCGCAAGCCUGAUCCAGCCAUGCCGCGUGUGUGAAGAAGGCCUUCGGGUUGUAAAGCACUUUUGUCCGGAAAGAAAUCCCUGGAGCUAAUACCUUCGGGGGAUGACGGUACCGGAAGAAUAAGCACCGGCUAACUUCGUG
rnacentral:rRNA from 1 species